CUUUUUUUCUUUCUUUUCCAGUAUCCAUUUCAUGCACAUGUAGCCACAGUUAUGUUUUUACAAAAAUAGGAUUGUCUGUCCACAGACAUUUUCCGAGCACGGGCCGCACGUGGUCCUCCUGGUCCACAGGCUUCUCCUCCUGCCUUAUCUCCUGAGGCACUGCAGGUGUGGGACAAGGUGGGCAAGGUGGGCACCAGGAUCACAGGGCUUUGUGGCCUCGCUGUUCAGAAACUGAGCUUUGGAGGGGGCAGAUCUGAGUCAAGUCACUGGCUGUGUGGCCAUCGUGUGUCCCUUGACAGCUCUGAGCCUUGGCUCUCCCAUCUGUUAAGUGGGACUCACACCUGUUCUCGAGGGACGGGCUUGAGAACUAACUGGGCAAAUGCAUGGAAAGUGUUAGACACGGGGCCAGCGUCCAACGAAGGCUCUGCUGUGCUCUCUGCAGGUGGCGGCGGGGGCGGGGGGCGAGCCGAGGGCAUUUCUCUUCCUCGCAUCCUCCAGUUGUAGGGCCGGAUCCAGGUCAUGGAAGACACCUGAUGACCGUUCAGUGAUUAAAAUCUUGCCUGUUUGGCUUGAGGUUAGAGCCUGGAAAACCUUUCACCACCCUGUGGUGUUUCCAGAAAACACAGAAUCUGGCCCCAGUCACCUUCCUUGCCACAGGUUGCAAGUGUGGGUGUGAUUCUCAACCGAAAAACCAACGCCGACUUCACAGCUGGAGACCACCAGCCAGUCUCCUCCUGGUGACAACCGCGACCCUCCAAGUUCCACCCCGGCUCCCCCAGCCUUGGCCUGAUGAAGUGCACCCCUGGAAGUCCUUGACCCCAAAGGAUGGUUGGCUAAUGGUGGACUUUUGCGGCCAGUGCCACAAGUCAGCUAUUCCCAGUCUUAUGCAAAGAGGCAGAGGCCUCCUGAAUGCAGUGCCGAAGAGGAGAGGAGCUGAGGACAGAGGUGGUGUUUUGGCCGAGCAGGUGCCUCUGGCUUCUAUUCUGUCCACAGGCUGGGGGCAGCUGUAAGCUCAGAGACGAGAAAUUCUGGCUCUGCGAACGUCAAGUGAAAACCGUGGAUGAGUCCUCCUUAAGCUUGUCUCAGAAGGCAGCUGCUGGUCUUGCGAAGGCCUGGUCGAGCUUUGAUACUCAGCUCCGGCCUGGAACUUUCCAGGGCUUUCCUGGAAGCUGCCAUAGGGCGAGGGUGGGGUUGCAGUGAAGGAAUGUGACCCAGUUGGGCACAUAUCUGAGCAGCCCCAGAUGGACCAGGGCUAA